UACGGGGGGGGCAAGCGUUGUUCGGAAUUACUGGGCGUAAAGAGCUCGUAGGUGGUUUGUUACGUCUGCUGUGAAAACCUAGGGCUUAACCCUGGGCUUGCAGUGGAUACGGGCAGACUAGAGGUAGGUAGGGGAGAAUGGAAUUCCUGGUGUAGCGGUGAAAUGCGCAGAUAUCAGGAGGAACACCGGUGGCGAAGGCGGUUCUCUGGGCCUUACCUGACACUGAGGAGCGAAAGCGUGGGGAGCGAACAGG
rnacentral:rRNA from 1 species